rnacentral:rRNA from 1 species
CCUACGGGAGGCAGCAGUGAGGAAUAUUGGUCAAUGGACGAGAGUCUGAACCAGCCAAGUAGCGUGAAGGAUGACUGCCCUAUGGGUUGUAAACUUCUUUUAUAUGGGAAUAAAACAGGGUAUGCAUACCCUCUUGUAUGUACCAUAUGAAUAAGGAUCGGCUAACUCCGUGCCAGCAGCCGCGGUAAUACGGAGGAUCCGCGCGUUAUCCGGAUUUAUUGGGUUUAAAGGGAGAGUAGGUGGAUUGUUAAGUCAGUUGUGAAAGUUUGCGGCUCAACCGUAAAAUUGAAGUUGAAACUGGCAGUCUUGAUGAAAGGAGAGGGGGGGGGAAGUGGGGGGGGAGGG